GAUUGUUGAGGAUCGGAAAUGGUUCCCGACACGCUAUCUCUGAUAGUUAACAGGUAUGCUGGAUACACCGCCCAGCCAACAAUC
rnacentral:ncRNA from 1 species